rnacentral:lncRNA from 1 species
AGACUUAAUCUCAGCCCAUUGGCUUAAUCAAAUUAAGCCAAUUAGCAUUCGAAUUGCUAAUCGAUCCUCCUGCAACACUUGUACUGGGUUAAAUGUCAAUCGUACUGAUCAUUUAACCCUAGAACGAUUCUUAAUCAUUGAUCAACCAUCCGAUCGGAUCAUGAACUCUAAUGUGUGUGACCUCAUAGGUCCGAACCUAAGCUGGUAGUAUAAGAAUAAAUUUCUGUACCAAUCGAAGUGACCAUCUAGCAAUGGUACCCGACGACCGGAUAGGUCGAUUAUGUAGAACAACAUCCUUAGAACCCAUGCGGAUAUAGUUUUCAUAUAAUUCAUCCCCUUGACCAAAAUGAUCAUAGGACACCCCAAAGUUCAACUGUCA